rnacentral:tRNA from 1 species
GGCUGGUUAGCUCAGUCAGUUGAGUGUAGCACUAACAAUGCUAAGCUUGCUGGUUCGAUUCCCGUUCGGUCC